UGGGCCUCCAAAACCUGAAGUUUGAACAUUUCAGCAAUGUUCCCCACCUCCUUCAGGGUGUGACUAGAUAAUAUAACAGACAUGGCACUACUGCCAAUAAUGGCUGUCUCACAUCUGGUUGUCCCUUUGAUACCUAUUGAAUAAUGAUAUUCUCAAUGUGAUGUGAUAUCAUCCCGUUCUGAGAUUCGACAGCCACGACACCAACACAUUGGCUCCUGGCGAUGGGGAUCGGAUUUUCAUAUGACGUGAUGGCAUCACAAAAUGCACUGAGUUUCACUUGAAAUUUUAGGUAAGAGAGAGCUGCGGUUCUCAGCUAGUUCCUCAAUCUAUCAGAAAACCCCUGAUUAACCAACAAUUAGAUCUGCUGUCUACUGCAUUGUUACAGUAAGCUUCUGCAACAUAAAAUUUUAUUAGAAUGCCUCCCAGGUAGUUUAUGUCUAUGCCACAUCUGUCAUAGAGAAAGCAUGCAUAUGAGUCACAAUCAGAGCCUGCCCACCCAUGAGGCAAGGUGAAGCAACUGCCUCAGAGCUUUGGAACAUUCGAUGGGGCAGUAGAUCCGGGCCCAUAAGGAGCAAAUUACUUCCCAUUUACAUUCUCAGCCACCACCUUCUCCUCCAUGCUGCUGCUGUUUGCUGUCACGUCUGGAAGCAAUGACUCCCCCCCCCCCAUCAGCCUCCUUUUGGAUCUCCUUUUUCUCCCCGUUUUCUCAUUGGUGGUGGUGGCACUGGUAAGGGGGCAGGGGAGGAGUUGGGGGGUGGAUCCUGCUUCUGAGGGCUCAUAUGUCUCCUCUCCAUGACUGAUACACACAAUCAUGCUCACAUCCCAUCUUUCUCUCUUCUAUAGAUCAUUAUCUACAGUACUGAUACAAGGUUCAGUAUCAGUAAGGAUUUCGGCUUAGAACCUUCACUGCAUCCUGGUGUUAGACAGGAACUGCUAAAUACAGCUGCCCCAUUGUCAGGGAGUGGCAGGACACUGAUGAGUGUGCACCGGAGGAAGAGGGGCUGCAGUCUGACUUGGGAGAAAUGAGCAGUGGUCCGUGGGGAAUCUGUAACAGCCAGGAGGCAAGAAUAGGAGGCAGGGGAAUCUUCAGAGCUGGAAGGAAGGAAGAGAAGGCAGAGGCAGGUGAGGGAAGUGAAGGAAGGUCCAGGUACUUCCCCACCCUCUCUUGCAUCACUUUCUCCUGGAACCAGGAAAAAAUGGAAGCUGCUAAAGCAGAAGCAGCAUUAUGUGAAGAAGGUUUUGCUUUGGUCUGAUCCAAAUCAAUUACUGAUUUUCAUGAACAGGACAGCCCUUGGCAGGUGACCCUCAACAAGGGAUAUAAUAUUAAGAAAGGAUAUAGUAUAAGUCUGGGGAAACUUUGGCUCUCCAAAGGUUGCUAAACUACAAUUCCCAUCAUCCCUGGCCUUUGCCCAUACUUUUUAGGGCUGGAGUAAAGUUUCCCAUGCUUCUUCUAGGAAUACUGGAGACAAGUUGCUACUCCCCAUCACAAGUCAAGCAUUUGCAAAUGUCUUCUCUGUUUAUUUUAUAGAAAAUAUUAUCUUCUUCUCUGACAGCUUAUCCAUAACCCAGAGGGAAAUGAUAUCUAUGUUGCUGUCAGCAUUGUUCAAUUCAGGAGAAAGAGAUCUGGCAGAGGAAUCCUAUACUACAGUGUGGUUGAGAUCCAGGACUUUGUCAACAUAUUUCAGGUAACUGGAUUCAGCUGAAAUACAGUCAAACUUAAUCCACAAGAUGUCUGGCCAGUUUUCUCUCUAGCGUAUGUUUUCUGAUCUUUACGUCUAUUGCAGUUAGUUCUUUGACCAAGGAGGGGUUGGUUCAUUUUAUUUAUUUUUGCAAACGUUACAGUGAACAUUUUCCUUUAUAUUCUCCUGUAGGCACUCUGGUGAGUUAAGAAUGCCACCUAUAGUUCAUCAUUGAAAUAGCUCCAAGAGGAGAAAGAAAGAAAGAGAGACAGAGAGAGAGAGAGAGAGAGAGAGAAAGAAAGAAAAGGGGGGGGACGCACCUUCCAUGAAUACCAACCAGCAAUGUUGAAUGACAUGGAUCUUUGAGAUUUCUGAUACAUAUGACAAAGUUUUUUUCAGUUGAGCUGCGGAUGGAAACUUAGCAAUCAACUGGCUUCUGUAUUUCCUGAACAUAGCAACAUACGUAAUUCUUUGUUCAAAAAUGUAUCAAAAUAAGUCUGAAAUGUGUGAAAGAAAGGUGCUUUAAAAUACAUUUAAAAUAGUAUGUAGAUGCUAAUUUUCCUGUAAUUUUAAAAAUUGCUAAUUAAUCUGGAAAUCAGGUGAGAUAGAUUUAUGAAUGCACACAUUCAAACAGGAUGAGCAGUUACAAUAGACAGAUUCAUCCAUACCAUCAAGUCAUUACAUUUCCAUCAAGUUGCAUUCCAAUCCAUUGUAACAAUUUUCAGAACAAUUUCUGUGUGUCUGUUGCAGAAAAACAACAAAGCAUCUUGUGCUGCCUUAAAUUUUAAUAGAUUUUAUUACAGUGUCAGCUUUUGUUGACUAGCACUCAGUUCAUCAGAUGAAUGAAGAGUUAUUCUGAGUCACAGCUGUAUUUCUUAGGGCUGGGCGGGUAGCUUAACAGUGAGGUCAAAGGGAAAUGAAAUGUGGCUGUCCAGGCCUCUCUAUCUGCCCCUUGGGAUUCUCCCAUGGCCGUACCUUUCACAGGCCCUGAUCAACACCCUCUCCAGUACUUUUGCAUGGUUGGAAUGUGUCCUUGAACUGUAAUGAUGCCUCUUGCUUGUCAUGCUGGAGAAAUAUAUGCAGAGAGAACCAUCUGACUUUUCUGUAGUUGGAAUGUAGACUACUGUGCAAUAAUGAGUCACAUCCAUUACCCCACCACUACUGGAAUCUCACUCCCAGUGCCUUGCAGACCAUUUUCUAUAACUUCCAUGAGACAUAUGCACCUGGUGAUUUGCCCUGCUCUAAUUCUUUCCUGUCCAACCCCUCAAACCAGCAACAAUAUUGUAAGGGUGUGUGUGAAGGGACCUUGUUCCCUAGGAGUUGGCUCCUAUGGGUCAGAUAGAGAGGCCUGGAUGGUCUCAUUUGGUGCCCGGGUCUGCAGUACUCCAUCCCUAUACUAAUUAGAGAGAAGAUGUGCAUGGGAACCUCCUACGGGAAACUUGCCCAAGAAUUCCUACACACACAAUUAAACAAAAAACAAAAAACUGGAGCUAUGCCUGGAGGUGGUGAUGCAGUGCCGCAACAUUUAAUAAACCAGCUCUAAGUGAGUUAGAAGAAGCCUUGAAAGACAGGUAUGCAUGCCAAGUUUGCUUUCAAAUUCUUGACAAACUCCUGCUUAAUAAAUAGCAAUUUGCCGUGUCGGAAAGCUGAACUCUCUGCUUUGGCUCACUCAUAACAAAGACGCAUAUUCAGAGUCGUGCUGUUUCAUGACCCUCCUGAGUUUCUGUUUGAGAACUCCUUGGAAACAGCUGCCACUUCCUCACAAAGCACGUGAGGCGUAACCCAACCAAUUUAUUGAAUUAUUCAUUAGACUGAGAGAAUAAAUAAAAAAGGUGGGUAUAAGAGGGUGGGGUGGGGGAGAGAGAAGAGUGUUGCUGUUAUAUUGGGGAGAGAGGAAGUUGUCAGAAAGUGCUUUUUAUUUAUAGGUUUAUUACAGCUUGCAUUUGUCUCUGUGAGCAGCAUACAAUUUUCUCUAUUGGCCACCAUAACUCAGGAUAGAAAGAAGAGCUGUAAAUACUAGAAAUUUGGGGUUUUCUGGGACUAUGGUCUCCUAUUUUUAACUUGCAUUUUAACAUGGAGGUAAAACAUUCCUUUGACAAUGUACAGAUAUUAAAUAAAGAUCAGGGGGAUACAGCAAGCAGAAAUUAUUCAAGUACUAGAGGAAAAAAAUUGCUCCAGGCUACUCUUUCACACAUUGUUGCUCAAGUCAGGAUUAUGAUAUGACAGUUCUAACUCUGCUGCUGACAUUCGAAUAGACUAUUACAUUAUUUACUUUUUGUAAAAUAACAUUCUAUUACAGCUCCCUAAAGGCCCACUGCUGUUCUUAGUUUAAGGGGAAAGAUUCUCUUUGCCCAUGAUUCCGAGCUUCCAAUUUGCUAAUACAGCUCUGGUGGAGACCACUAAUCGGGUCCUUCCUUAAAGAGGGCACAUACUGGACAACCGACACCCUGUGUUGUGGGUGGGAACAUCUGGUAAGCCACAACACCCGAUUGGUAGGUCCCUCGAAGCUGGGUACAAUCUGACCAAUGGGACGCAAACGGUUUGAGGGACCUAUUAUGCCCAUGCAUGUGACUCAGAGCUUCCUCUUUCAGCGCGUGCAUUCGGAACACCACAGCAUGUCCUCUGCAAGCCAAGAGAGAGAGAAAGAUUUACCUUCGACGGAUCGUCCUGGUGAUAUCUUUCCGUUAUCCCUUCUUCUUUUUAAUUCCUUUUACCCUCUUCCUUUCCCUAGUUUUUAAUUUUUAAGUUUGUUUUUAAUACUCCCCAUCCUUGAUCUUCCCUGAUUUAGAGGGGCUUCUGCCCCAUGGGGCUUGCAGCCGCUUAGCGCUCCACUUCGGAGUCUUUUCAUUCGCUAAUUUCUUUCCUAUAGGGCGUUUGUCCUUGGGGUUCCCCCAGAGCUCUCCCUUUUGCUGGGGAUUGCCAUGGAUCCUGAUUCUAAAUUUGUGGCUUCAUGUAGCGAUCACUAUUCCCUUAAAGGACUUGAGCUCACAAGCUGGUUUAUCCAGGGGUUCACGGUGCAGCGUUGCUGCAGCUUGAAAAACUUCUGCUCAGCGGCCCCAAUUUAUUGUUUUCGGUGUCUUUUUGCCCGCAGGGCUUGGCUUUAGCGCUUUUGUCUCCAGGGUUGCCUCCAUUUCCCUGGGUUCAGGGAGCAGUAAUUCUGAGCCGUGUUAGCCACACAUUUAUUUUAUAGAGCCUUGAAUAGCUGGAGCAAAGGAAUUUGAGUUAUAGUGAUUGUUUGGUCCGCUAAUUUGGCUUGUGAGAGUUCCCUCUCCGUAAGCUUGGUAAAUACUUCACCCGCUCCCAAUUUGCUUAAGGAUGGUUGGGGAAUUUUUGGAGCCGGCAGCCAUUUUGCCCUGCUUAUUUUGGCAGGAGAAGAAGAAGAAGAAGAGUUUGGAUUUGAUAUCCCGCCUUUCACUCCCUUUAAGGAGUCUCAAAGCGGCUAACAUUCUCCUUUCCCUUCCUCCCCCACAACAAACACUCUGUGAGGUGAGCGGGGCUGAGAGACUUCAGAGAAUUGUGACUGGCCCAAGGUCACCCAGCAGCUGCAUGUGGAGGAGUGGAGACGCGAACCCGGUUUCCCAGAUUACGUGACUACCGCUCUUAACCACUACACCAUACUGGCAUCUUGUCUUGGUGGCAGGGCCUGUGUUGGUGGGAGCACCAUUUUGUUUUGGCGGGAGCACCAUCUUAAGGAUUAACAGUUAAUUUUAAUUUUACUGAAUAUUGGGAGACCUUAUAGAGAUGCCUGUUAAAAGGAAUCUUAGCCCUGCCCUCCCUUCAAAAGGGGUAAUUAGAGGCCCGUCUCAGUCGCUGCAUUCAGUGCAAGCCCCAGCAGUUCCUCAGAAAACAUUGGAUCGUCUGGGGUCUAUCAUGAUCAAUAUUGACACGGACCUUUUGGCCUUGACAAGAUUUAAUGUGGAGCUUGAGUCAUUGGCUCAGCAGUUUGGGAGGCAGCCUGAUCCCCGCCUGGCCCCUCCUCUUCUUCUACUGAUUAUGAGGCUCAGGGUCCUUCUGAUGCAAGUGAAGGGAGUGAGGCUUUUGAUUCCUCUGGGGCUUUGUUUUCCCAAAUGCAUUUUUCCAGGAUUCCAGUCCCAGCUAGCCCUAGGAGUAUGGGUUCCAUGGUGCAGCAGGCCUUUCGGUCUGGACUGCCACAUUCACAGUCGGCACCCCCAGGUUCUGGGAGUUCAGGGCUUCCAGCAGCGCAGUUCUUGAGGAGAGGACCUUCUUUGUACUGUGAUGCCUCAGGUUUAACAUUGUAUUUUCUGCCCGUUUUAUUCCUAGUGCUAAUAAUGACAUUGUGGAUGCCUUAUCCCAUUUUCAGAUGGAGUGCGUCAGAUUCCUGGCUCCGGAGGCCCAGCAGCUUCUGGAAUAUUUACCGGAGCAACUUUGGAACCUUUGCAACAGAUAGUCAUGCAAGGCAUAAUAGCAUCUGUUUCUCCCUCCACUUUGAAGUCUUAUAAGAAGGCCUGGAUGGACUUUUUAGCCUUUAGAGCACAGCUCACGACCAGCCUUAGCUCAGAGUCACCAUCCACACAGCAGGUGUUGUAGUAUUUAGCUCAACUGCAUUUCAUGGGUCGUGCUGUAAAGUCCAUUUGAAUUCAGUCAUCUGCCAUUUUCUUUUUCUGUAAGUCCCUUUAUUCUAGAGACCCUUGUGCAAAAUUUGUAGUGCACAAGGCUCUUGAAGGCUGGGUCAGAUUACAGCCUCCUAAGUCACCAGGUAGGAGGCCGGUCACAUUUGACAUUUUGUGCACUAUGCGCAGCACCCUGAGAUCAAUUUGUUGGUCUAAUUUUGAGGCAGCACUUUCAAUUGCAUUUUUCGGUGCACUGCGUGUGGACGAAGUGGUGGUGGAGUCAGUGUAGGGAAGGACUUCCAGGGGAUUGCUUUUGCAGGAUGUUCAGCUGUCAGAUGCUGAGUUGGUCCUAACCACUCACAAUUCCAAAAUGGACCAGUUGGGCAGAGGUGCCUUGAUGCGGCUGCCUGCCACUGGUGAGCUUGCCCUGUGUCCAGUAAAGGAUGCCCCCCAAAAAUUUGUCCCUUCGCCUGCCUGGGGAUGGUCCCUUCCUGGUUCACGAGGAUGGGUCCCUGUUUUCUGCAGUAAUGCACAAGGCGCUGGCAGCGUGCAGCCUGUCAGCCAGCGAAUUUGCACCUCAUUCCUUCUGUAUUGGGGCAGCUACAACCGCUGCACAUUGGGACCUGUCCGUUGACAGGAUUAAGGAUCUGGGCCACUGGAGAUCUGGAGCAUACCGAGGUUAUGUUCAGAAGCGGCAUUGAGGUGCAGGUGCUAAAGUUGUUUUGUUCAUUCCUAGGUCUGCCUACCCUGCAUGUCUGGAGAGUAGGGCACAGCAUUGUCCACUGGGCCAGCAAGAGGGCAGUAGAGUCUGGAUUUUGACGCAGGCUUGGGCUUUCCAACCACGUGUGCGUUUUCUGGAUAUCCAGACGAGGAAUGCGUUGGGAGGAGCUUCUCCCAAUGGUGCGGGUGAAGGUGUCUGCGGAACGUGCGCCUGCAGCAAUGGUGGUGCAGCUGGGCCAGAAUGAUUUGCCGGAGGCUCACAGCUUGUGGCUGCGGACCCACACACAGGAGGACUUGGAAGAGUUGAAGGCAGCUCUUCCUGGACUCAAGAUACUUUGGUCGCAGCUGUUGCAGCAACGUGCGUGGUGAGGAAGCUGAGAUUUCCGGGUCUGAACAUGCAAUUAAGAGGACUGAUGCAAUGCCAUACUCUCUGUUUCAGGAAAGACUGCAUUCCUAGAUUGAAUUAAGUCAGCAAGAAAUCCUUUAACGUCUUUGCAUGAAUGGGUCUGAUUUGUCCAACCUGAGUGCAGAUUUUUACAUAAUUAGAAUCUUGGUGUAGGUGGUGCUCGUUACAAGGUAUACACCUGAUCCCUCAGUUUGUCUGCCAUGUCUAUAGACCCAACAUACACUCUUGAAAGGAAUGCCACCUUUUGUGUAAAGUCAGGUUGUGCAUCCAUUAAAAAAAUGUGUGCACACCUUUAAUCCUUAAACCUAACAAAGAACUUGCCACACCAGGAAGUUGGAAAAGAUUGGUUAAUUACACAAAAAUGAAAGAGACAAAAGUAUUUAGUUGCUGCUUUAGACGGUGAUAUAGAAAUGUUUUUUUCUAAAUAAAUAAAUAGCAGUGUGUUGGGGGU